rnacentral:lncRNA from 1 species
UCACAUUAUCAGUCACACUCAUUCAUUUCUUCAUUUAAAUGUUACUUCUAGGUAUUCUUCAGUAAAUUUUUUGUUGUUUACUUUCUUGCCAGGCAGACAUUGGACUAUUUGACAUAUUGUCCAUCAGUAUAAGUUUUUGUUCUGUGGAUCAGAAUAGUGAACAUAAGAAUGUCAUGCCACUUGUCAAAUGCAAAGACCUUGUUAUUGUAGCUACCGUGAUUCUCAAUUGAGGUGGAUAGAGUGGGUUGAGAAUUAGGAUUAAAAAAAGUUGAGAGUAAAGAACCAGACCAAAGUCAUCCUAGUAUCACAGGAACUUUAAAGGUGUGGAAAAUAAAUGAGGAGUUUCAGUAGUCAGUCAAAAAUCGAAACAGUUUCUACUUCAAACUGAAGUGAUCUAAAUGACCAAAUCUCCAUGAGAUUACCUUUUCCUACAAGUGAGUGGUAGUGAAGUGAAUGUAUUAACUAAGAAAGAAAAAAAAAACUUGAUAUUUUACAUUCUUUCACUUUCCAUUUGUAUAGCAUUUGAUAAUUCUAUUAGUCACUCAGAAUUUUUUUUUCAUUUGGCAAAUCUGGGUUAGAACCAGAUAAAAUCCAUUACAACCCAGUGAUAGUAUGAUGACAUUCACCUCAAACUUUCACUGACUAUUGGUUUUAUGCUUCUCACUUAUAUUAAAAUAGGACGUUAGUAAACCUGACUUUCUUUGAAAAAAAAUGUUUCUUCUGCAUGCCGAGAAUCAUUGUCAGUUCCUUAAUGCAGAAUUUCAAGCUGAAAAGAAAAAGAAAUCCCAGCUAUCAGGAAAAAAAAAAAUAGAAUGAGGCAGCAUGGAUUCUC